CUGCUGUGGCCAAGACUGUGCUGGCUUACCUGGUCCCAAUUUGUGAGAACAAAGCAUAUUGGGCUAUUACAGGUUUUCUACUGGUCCACCAGGAAGGCGAGGAAAGCCUGGACGGCGAGGAGAGCCAGGUAAGCCCUUAUAUCUUGUGAAUUAAUUAUAGUAAAUUAUAUACAUUGAGAAGAGAGAAAGUGCAACCCAU
rnacentral:lncRNA from 11 species